AUGAACGCUGGCGGCGUGCCUAAUACAUGCAAGUCGAGCGAACAGACGAGGAGCUUGCUCCUCUGACGUUAGCGGCGGACGGGUGAGUAACACGUGGAUAACCUACCUAUAAGACUGGGAUAACUUCGGGAAACCGGAGCUAAUACCGGAUAAUAUAUUGAACCGCAUGGUUCAAUAGUGAAAGACGGUUUUGCUGUCACUUAUAGAUGGAUCCGCGCCGCAUUAGCUAGUUGGUAAGGUAACGGCUUACCAAGGCAACGAUGCGGAGCCGACCUGAGAGGGUGAACGGCCACACUGGGACUGAGACACGGUCCAGACACCUACGGGAGGCAGCAGUAGGGACUCUUGCGAGAUGGGCGAAAGCCUGAAGGAGCAACGCCGCGUGAGUGAUGAAGGUCUGCGGGUCGUAAAACUCUGUUAUUAGGGAAGAACAAAUGUGUAAGUAACUAUGCACGUCUUGACGGUACCUAAUCAGAAAGCCACGGCUAACUACGUG
rnacentral:rRNA from 1 species